GAUGAACGCUGGCGGCGUGCCUAAUACAUGCAAGUCGAGCGAACGGACGAGAAGCUUGCUUCUCUGAUGUUAGCGGCGGACGGGUGGGUAACACGUGGAUAACCUACCUAUAAGACUGGGAUAACUUCGGGAAACCGUAGCUAAUACCGGAUAAUAUUUUGAACCGCAUGGUUCAAAAGCGAAAGACGGUCUUGCUGUCACUUAUAGAUGGAUCCGCGCUGCAUUAGCUAGUUGGUAAGGUAACGGCUUACCAAGGCAACGAUGCAUAGCCGACCUGAGAGGGUGAUCGGCCACACUGGAACUGAGACACGGUCCAGACUCCUACGGGAGGCAGCAGUAGGGAAUCUUCCGCAAUGGGCGAAAGCCUGACGGAGCAACGCCGCGUGAGUGAUGAAGGUCUUCGGAUCGUAAAACUCUGUUAUUAGGGAAGAACAUAUGUGUAAGUAACUGUGCACAUCUUGACGGUACCUAAUCAGAAAGCCACGGCUAACUACGUG
rnacentral:rRNA from 1 species